rnacentral:sRNA from 1 species
CAAUGCACCUGAUGUUCAUUCAGUUGAAGAAAUUCAACAACAAGA